rnacentral:rRNA from 1 species
UCCGUUAUUUCUUGUUUUUAUUAAAGUUGGAUUCUUGCUUUGAAAUUUGGAUUUUGAAUUAUUUUAUAUGUAAGGUUUUCCUUUAUUUAUCUAAAUGAUUGUUUUUCAGUAUUUAAUUUUAGUUUUUAUUUAGAGAUAAAACUAGAUUUUUAAUAUAUAAUUGACAAAAAUCGUGCCAGCUGUUAUACAUUUAGUUAAACUGAAUUUUUUUAUUAUAUAUUAAUUUUGUUUUUUAUUUAUAAUUUUUGUUUUUAGGUGACAUUUUUUAUUUUAUUGUUUUUAAAUUUAUUGAUUCUUUUUUAUUUUUGAAAAUUAUUAAUAAACUAGGGUGAGAUACCCUGUAAUAAUAGUUGUAAAUUGCCAUAGUAUUAAUAGUUAUGUUCUAUAAAUUAAAAGAAUUUUGCGGUAAUUUCUUAUAUCUUUCUGAAAGAACGAGUCCUAUAAUUGAUAAUCCACGAUUGAUUUUACUUUUAUUAAGUUUAUAUAUCGAGGGUUACCAUCAAGAAUAAGAGUAAGAAGAAUAAUAUAACUUAUUUUUAUUAUUAUAAUAUGUGUACACUUUAAUGUAAACACUUUAUAUACAUCGUUUUUAACAUAUGUCUACAUUAUUGUAUAGGGAUAUAAAAACAUCACGGGAUUCCUUCUUUUCAAUAUACAAGCA